AGAAAAAGAGAAAACGACUGGGAUACGCCGGGAUACGCAGGGACACGUUAGGGAUACGGCCUGGCCCAAAAACACACCCCCGGGCCAGCCACGGCCCAAUAUGUAACCCUAUUUUGCAGGGUCUCCAGCGUGCCAUACGAGCUGCUCCCUGCUUCCCAGCUCGAACAGAAGGAGCCGCCACCUUCUGGAUCGAAGUUCCCACCACCUGGACUCGCCGCCGCCGGCGCCGGCGACUCCUGGAUUCGACGGCGACUCCUCCAUCCAGCACCAGCAGCAGCAGUCUCUCUCUCUCCUCGCCUCCUCGGCUCCUCGCAGCUGUAGCCUGUAGGUAGCAACUAGUAAGUGGCAUGGCAUCUGGGAGCGCCACAGCUGGUAGCCAAUUUGUGUUUGACGUGUUUUGCAAGAUGCAACUUACAAUGAGAUGGGGGGACGAGGAUCGAUCAAGCACUUGAUAAAAGAGACACCAAAUGGGGCAGUACUCUAGUCUAUUCUUUAUUUUGAUCUAUUUCUCUUUAAUUUUCUGUCUUAACUCUAUAUUACAUGGCAUAUUUUUAUUUUAUUUUAUAUAUACUCGCCGUAUCCCCGAAUGGCUGUUUUUUGGAAAAUCCCGUAUCCCAUAUCCGUAUCCCCGUCUUUC